rnacentral:rRNA from 1 species
UUGGACCUGAUAUCAGGCAAGAUUACCCGCUGAACUUAAGCAUAUUAUA